GAGUUAGAGUUCCUAUAAAUGUAUGAAUACUGUAAAAAAAUUACACAUCAUUAAAUUAAAACUCAUCAAUUUAUCAUGUCAUAUAUGAGCUUUUUUUUAAAAAAAAAAUGAUUCAUUCAAUUAAGAAGAAACAGAGGGCUCAGAGGCCAUUACAUUAGAUUGGACUAAGCCAUAAAAGUCUUGAGGGAUCUCCUCAAUCCAAACUCAAACACCUAAAGUAAAAGAACGCUUAGCUAAAGCAUCAGCGACACUAUUGCCAGCAAGGCGAAUAAAGCUGAAAUCAAAAGCAUCAAAACCAGAAGACAAACGACGACAAUCUAAAAUCGAAGAGUCUAAAAUAGAGCAACCACCCCGGCGCUUCCACGCCUCAUAAAGAAGGAGACAGUCGGUCUCGAACACUACGUGCCGGAAACCAAGAUCCAUAGCCAAACCGAGCGCCCAACGGAAAGAGAGCCCCUCCGCUAACAAAGAAGAUGAUGCUGGACCAUGCGAGGAGCACGCUGCUGC
rnacentral:lncRNA from 1 species